UGGGGAAUAUUGGACAAUGGGCGCAAGCCUGAUCCAGCCAUGCCGCGUGAGUGAUGAAGGCCCUAGGGUUGUAAAGCUCUUUCACCGGUGAAGAUAAUGACGGUAACCGGAGAAGAAGCCCCGGCUAACUUCGUGCCAGCAGCCGCGGUAAUACGAAGGGGGCUAGCGUUGUUCGGAUUUACUGGGCGUAAAGCGCACGUAGGCGGACUAUUAAGUCAGGGGUGAAAUCCCGGGGCUCAACCCCGGAACUGCCUUUGAUACUGGUAGUCUUGAGUUCGGGAGAGGGGAGGGGAAUUCCGGGUGUAGAGGUGAAAUUCGUAGAUAUUCGGGGAAAAACAAGGGGCGAGGGCGGCUAACUGGCUGGAAACUGACGCUGGGGGGCGAAAGCGUGGGAGCAAACAGG
rnacentral:rRNA from 1 species